ensembl:lncRNA
UCCCUUCCCUUCCCUUCCCUUCCCUUCCCUUCCCUUCCCUUCCCUUCCCUUCCCUUCCCUUCCCUUCCCUUCCCUUCCCUUCCCUUCCCUUCCCUUCCCUUCCCUUCCCUUCCCUUCCCUUCCCUUCCCUUCCCUUCCCUUCCCUUCCCCUCCCUUCCCCUCCCCUCUCCUAUACUACUCCACUCCACUCCACUCCACUCUUCUUGGAAAGAAUGUAGCAGAGCAGAGAUCUAUCAGAGACACUGUGUGUCAGAAAUGUAUCAGAGAGACCUCCUUGGGAAGAGACCAGAUGACACCAUUCACCUAGAAAGGGCCUUGGAGGUUUUCCACAGCAUCCUUCUUCACCCGGAAGAUGCUAUAUGAGGUGACCUCUAAGGUGAUAGUGCUUGUAAGGAAAUCUCCACUCAGAGGUCAAAUCCUAAGCACCUUGCUGCAGGGGCUGCCAGCCCAGCAUCCCUCUGCAGGUGGCUCACAGAGUUCUUCUUCCUGCAGCUCUGGGGCUGCAGUGAGGACUGGAGCGCAGCAAAGCUGUUCCCAGCUCUGCAGGAUGUGAGCCCUGUCCUUGCGUCUCCAGCGUUUGUGGCUGAGGCUGGGUGCUAGGUAGAGGACAAAAGCACUCCCGGCACCCCUCCUCCUGUGUGCGGGGUGAUGGGGUGCCGGGUGCCAGGUUCCUAACCACCCCCCCCUCCCCCGGGGGUUGGGCCCCCACCCUGCAGCUUUGUUCUGGUCUUGCAGCACUGAAGACUCUUGCCCACUGCUCUCCAGGAGGACGGAGCGGCUGCAAUGGGAACAGAGAGGUAUGGGGAGCAGUGGUGCAGGGCUGUUGGUGCAGCAGCACUUCCUUCCUAACAGGACUUGGGGUCCUGGUGCUGCUUCCUGCUGUGGGGCACCUCCCUGCUCCCGUGGGGGUAGGGGGUGCCUGGGGACACGGCAUCCUGGGGGCAGCUGCACCUUGCCUGCCCUCCUCCACCGGCAGGGAAGGUGCAGUGAUGCAGCUGGCUUCUGCUGGAGGUUGUGAGCAAGAAAUGCCAGAAGCUGCCCAACAGCGUGAAGCUCUCUGUUCUGGUAAGCGCAGUGUGGGUGCUUCCUGGCAGGUGGUGGAACCCCCCAGUGCUCCCAAGCCAGUUCUCUGUUCCCUAGGCUCUGCUCAGCACUUGAGCCCCUGUUUGUCCCCCAGCUCUUGGCUGAAGCUGAGGCUUCCCAGGGUGGUGCUGCUUGGCUGGGGGCUGCCCUCUGGAAGUGCGUACAUUCUCCCUCAGGUGGGGUGCAACACCCAGAGCCCAAUCCCCUCCAGCCUGCUUCCCGGGGUGCAAAGAGGAGCGGUACAUCUCUGGUGAACAGGACUUUUUAUUCUGCAGGUGUUCCUGCACAUAUGGCGGCAGCCUGGUGCUCACUUGAUCUUCAUCCACAUCUUCUUGCAGGAGAAGCCGCUGGGAGGACGAAGGCAACAACGGACGUUAAAGAAGAGCUUCCUGCAGAGGAAAAAAGAAAGGAGGUCCACUGUCUCCUGCAUAGCUGACGUGGCCUUGGUGCAAUGUAGGGUCUGUCUCUGCUCUCGUCUUCAUGCCCAUCUUCUGUCUGACGGCCACGUGCAGGUAUCCGAGGCUGAGCUUCUGGCUGGCACUGCGCUUUGUCUCAAGGAUCUCCUCUUUCACAAGCUCCCUCGGUUCCAUUUUCUCAUUUCUAGGUUAAAAGAAGUAUAAGCACAAGUUAUUUGCUAGCAACUUCUGUCUGCUGCGGUUCUGCUUGUUUCUUUCAGCCCGCCCCUCCCGUAUUGGUUUUCUUUCAGCUGUCAGUUCCUACUUUGCCAAUACUGACCAAAUUAUCCUGUUAGCACAUUUCUUUUAUUUUUGCCAUGGCUGAGAAGGGGUGUGAGCUGCACAGAAAUGAAAAGAUUAAUAUAACUGGGGGCAUGCAGUCCUACGGCUCUGGAGUGAGCAGCUCCAUGUUUGUGCAGCAUGUGGGAAAGCUGCAGUCUGGACGUCCUGAACGUGAACGCUGCAGCUCAGCUCAGUGUGUGUCAGCCUCUGUCUGCAAGCAAACCCUCCCCGGCCAAAGGCCGAAGGCCAAAGGCCAAAUCCCAAAUCCCAAAUCCCAAAUCCCAAAUCCCCGCCUCCAUUGCUAACAUCAGAGCACAGCAAGCCGUACGUGUGCAGAAGCAUCCCAGAUUCCUAUGGCUCUGUAGCGGUGCGCUAAAGAGGGCCUCGGUCCUACAGCCUCACGGCAGGAACUUGGCAAACAAGGAGCUUCUCACGGGACUGCUCACUUGCAUCCACUGCCAUCGCAUCCACAGCCCGCAGCCCGCAGCCCGCAGCCGUCGGGUGAAGCCCUCAAGAGUACAACGGAGGUCGAGUGCUGAAAGCACGGGAGAGUUCCCGCAGCAACUGCUGCUAACAGCAGACGCUCCCAGCAACUCCAAGGAAGCCCUGAGAGCCCCGAGCCGUGCCCCAGGACCGCUUCCUCUCUCGAUUCACCGCCACCGCCACGGGAAAAGCAGACGGGAAAAGGGCACCGACGAAAGCUGCCGAUCGCGUUCACGACGGAGGCACUGCCGGCACUCGGGAGGAC